rnacentral:rRNA from 1 species
UGAGCAAUCUGCCCUUCUCUUUGGAAUAAGCGUUGGAAACGACGUCUAAUGCCGAAUACGACCUCCUUUCGCAUGAUCGGAGGUGGAAAGCUCCGGCGGAGAAGGAUGAGCUCGCGGCCUAUCAGCUAGUUGGUGUGGGUAAUGGGCCACCAAGGCGACGACGGGUAGCCGGCCUGAGAGGGUGACCGGCCACACUGGGACUGAGACACGGCCCAGACUCCUACGGGAGGNAGCG